rnacentral:tRNA from 1 species
GAGGAUAUGGCUCAGUGGUAGAGCACAUGCUUAGCAUGCACAAAGUCCUGGGUUUAAUCCCCAGUACCUCCU